UACGAAGGGGGCUAGCGUUGUUCGGAAUCACUGGGCGUAAAGGGCGCGUAGGCGGCUUUAUAAGUCGGGGGUGAAAGCCUGUGGCUCAACCACAGAAUUGCCUUCGAUACUGUAUGGCUUGAGACCGGAAGAGGUAAGUGGAACUGCGAGUGUAGAGGUGAAAUUCGUAGAUAUUCGCAAGAACACCAGUGGCGAAGGCGGCUUACUGGUCCGGUUCUGACGCUGAGACGCGAAAGCGUGGGGAGCAAACAGG
rnacentral:rRNA from 1 species